rnacentral:rRNA from 1 species
CCUACGGGUGGCAGCAGUGAGGAAUAUUGGUCAAUGGCCGAGAGGCUGAACCAGCCAAGUCGCGUGAGGGAAGACGGCCCUACGGGUUGUAAACCUCUUUUGUCGGGGAGCAAAGCGAACCACGUGUGGUUCAUUGAGAGUACCCGAAGAAAAAGCAUCGGCUAACUCCGUGCCAGCAGCCGCGGUAAUACGGAGGAUGCGAGCGUUAUCCGGAUUUAUUGGGUUUAAAGGGUGCGUAGGCGGUAUGUCAAGUCAAGGGUGAAAUCCCCGCGCUCAACGUGGGAACUGCCUUUGAAACUGGCAAACUGGAGUGUGUGAGAGGAUAGUGGAAUUCCAGGUGUAGGAGUGAAAUCCGUAGAUAUCUGGAGGAACAUCAGUGGCGAAGGCGACUAUCUGGCACAUAACUGACGCUGAGGAGCGAAAGCGUGGGUAGCAAACAGGAUUAGAUACCCGGGUAGUC